GCGAGGGUUAAUAUAAAGGAGAGCGGCAUGUUCAAAAAAUUAGGCUGGCGUUUUCAGAUUGAAUCGGUCAUCACUUGCUCUCGCGCCGGUAUGAAGAAAACUUCCCUCUAUUUCCAAAACAUCAAAACGCGCGUUACUUUGUCUUCUACAUCAAAAACGUACGCGCAGAACGAUUAGAGAAAGUCGAGAAGUCGGGGAGUAAUUCCAAGAAGUUGAGAAAGGCAAGUUCAUUGAUCUGGACCUCAAGCAGUAAUGGCUACAAGCAGGUUCUAUUCCAUCGUUUCUAUUGGAAGAAGUCAUUUGCAUGUGUCAAUGUGAAGGGGUUUGAUUUCGUCAUUAUCUGUGAAUCUGUAAUGCUGUUAAGCUACUCCUGAGUUCAAUUUUUUCACUUUCUCUCAUUUCUUGUUAAGAGAGUAUGGAUUUCACAUUUUUUUGAUACCUAUCGAUUUCAUCCAUUAAGGUGAGAGAAACCGGCAUCAUGCAUCAUGGCAAUUUUGUGAGGAUGUACAAUAGAAUGAACUACUCUUCUAGAAAAGCAAAAGGAAUUUUGGAAAGUUGAGUUGAAGGAUUUCUCUAGCAAAAAUGGAUAUGUUUUGAAUAAGAAUGGAGACGGUGGUCCUUUGCUUGUAGAUGUUCAUGAAGGAUACUUGAAAUUUGAGGUCAUGGGUUAGUGGUUCAACAUACAGGUCAACUGGGUCAACCCAUGAAGUGAACAAAGUUGUUGAGCAACUGAAGACAACCAAAGUUUCAGGUUAGGAAGGCUUGAAAAUGUUGCAUAUGGAGGGUCCUCAUAUAUAGGUAUGUUGAAGAUCAAUAGUCCUGUUGAUGAGGUUUCUUGAAUGGGCUUAUCAGGCGAUCAAACCUCCACCACUCAAGAUUUGUGGAUCUAGGGCCUAAAAUAGAAAACUCAAAGAGAAUGAUGUCCCAAAAGAUGGGACAUAUGCAUGAGUUUCAUCACUGAUGAGCCAACGUUGUAUUGAAUGUCUAAAUUCUAGGAUAGGAUAGGUAUCUAGCAUAAUAGUGUUCUAUGUUUUUAACUUGUCUUUUAAUAUAUUUAUUUAUUUUUUUUUUGAACAGCUAGUAGACUCUGUGAUGUAGACAGAACAUCGAUAAUCCUAAUGUCAAGUUAAGUUUCCCAUA